UUCGAAAAUAAACCCUUAAUACCAAGAUUGGCAUCCUGCACAACACAAAGCAAGCAAGCCACAACUCAGGUAUAUACAGGAUUGCUCUCCAUUCUCAAAAUACUGAAACUCUCAAAAUGUUGUUAUAAAUUAUAUUCAAGGUUUACCUCAGUAAUGCAAGUUUUACGUGUAUAAAGCUAUAUACCAAAAUGUUAACUGUACCUAAUGGAGUUUAAACCUUCAAUACAACACACAGUAAUAGUUUAGUUUUAACUCCAACCGCGCCAAAAUGAAACGCUGUCCACGGCGAUAGUUUACCAAUUAAGUUUGUAAAACUGGUUGUUCCAAAUUCCUUAUCAUUUGUCUUGGAACUGUGUUUUUAUGUCAACAAACGAAAUCAAAUGUCACAUAUCAACCAAUUAUAAAUAGCGUUUUGUUGACAAAAUCUCUACAAAUGAAGCAAAGCAUAAAAAAUAAACAAUGUUUUAAAGUAGGUAGAACACAACAGGUGAAAAAUAUAACCUGCUCCACACUCUGAACUGGGAGAAAGCAACCAGAACGCAGGCUGUUCUUUAUCAAUUAUUUUGCCAAUCCGGUUUUGCAGUGAAUGAUGUUUAAUCUAACUGGUCCUCUGCAUUCUGUAGCAGGUUUGAAUUAACAAAAUAAGCACAUGUAAUUAUUGGAAUGUGUUGCCUUGAUCGAGCAGGUCUGCAAACGGAGUCCAACCGGAAAACACUCGGUUCCGGAUCCGGAUCCAGCCCCAACCCAAAACCCGUCGCCAAAAAAUCUUCAGCAGUUAAUUUGCACGGCCAAGAGAAAGACAUCGUCAAUGAACCGCUUCUCAAGGAAGAAGGUGGCCUUAAUUACGGACUUAGAUAUAAACCCCGCGGAAUAUGAAUUAAUAGCUAAAUAAAUACAUGAUAUGGCACGUUUACACUGGCAGUUCAUUGUAAACCAUCUUUCAGAAUAAAACGCCCAUGCAGGGGUUUAAGCAUUGAUAGGGUCACAUGACCACAGCCUCCCCUUGCGUGAGUAGUGUAAAUUCCUAUCACCUGGUCCAAGGUAAAGCACCUCUCCAGACUUCAGCACCGCAUAAAGCACCUCUCCAGACUUCAGCACCGCAUAAAGCACCUCUCCAGACUUCAGCACCGCGUAAAGCACAUCUCCCAAACAGACUUCACCGCCGUGCUGCGCGUACAUUCCUGUUUGUUCACAGUGUAAUUUGAAUCUCGGGUUUCAUAUGGAAAGUGCAGAGAUGCUACUCAACGUUUUCUGUAGGCUGGUUGCAACUUCAUUUCCAACUCGUUGGACGUUUGAAUGGAACAAUGCAACCAGAGAAACAAGAUCGAGCACUGCCAGUCUCAAUGCCACUUCACCCGGUGAAACGUGAAUUUGGGGUCAUUUGACAAAAACAAUAUAUCGGUAUAUGGAAAGAAAACAGCAACCAAUUUAUUUUAAAUACAUAUCAUAUACUGAAUUAAAUCAACAAACAAGAAAAGGGCAGCAAAAGCACCUUUUGAAGUUGGUUUUAUUUCUAGAGCAAACAAGUUUAUAUUUUUAGCAAAUUCUAUCACAUGUAGAUGCUAACAAAAACCAUGUGGUUCUCUGUACAGUCCUCGCAAUACACAAAAUAAAACAAACAAUAUAAAUACAGACAUGGACUUUACAUGACAAAAGCAAGUGCAGUGAACACUCUGCUAAGAAUCCCAUUUCUAAAGGAUGAUGCAUCUGCAGAAUAUAGGAACAGUUAAACAUUAUGUUUAACAAAGACUUGCUGAUUUCUACAAACAAGUUGGGCUUCUUUCCCUAGUGCAGACAUUUCAUUGUUUCCCACCUGUAAAGGGAAGCAGAUUUUUAUAUGACAAAUGCAAAUUACUUAUACAUGGUCUUAAUAAGAUGUUCGUAGUAAGCAAUGAAAAAAAUGGUAUUGUCAGUUCCAGUCAAGGCAAGCACACGUAGUGUACCUUUGCAAAAAGCCACAUGCCUCUGUAUGCUGCACUACAUGAGAACCAGAGUACUAUUAAACCACUGGAUGUUCACAUUUCUUUUCUAUUCUUUUCAUAGAGCACUCAUGCAGUCAGUGAAACAACGGGCACACAGAUUCUACAUUCAGUGGAGACUAGAUUUCAGACGUAUUUUGAAAUGCAGUAGUCAGUAAAUCUCUGUGCUCUGGGCGACUGGACUGACUGUUCAGUGGUUUUUAAAUCCUCUCAGUUCACAGCACAGGGUGGCACUGAAACAUGCAGGUACUGGAUACUGCUAACGUAAACAAGGGCCGUCUCUCCAGGGCAGGGAGAGACCCUUUUCCUUCCUGACAAGAUUGUAAAGCUGUGGAUUUUUUAUUUUAUUUUAAACAACAUAUACAAUGAUCAAUUGAUCUUUGAUCGUCUGAUAACUGAUUCAAAAGAAACUCCACUCCUGGGAGUAGCACAGAAGGGUUUUACUACAAUGUAAAACAUGACUCGGUCCAAUGAAUCAGGUGUAACUGCACUGGGUAUUUACAAAAACACAAACCAAUAACAGGAAUAAUACACAUUGCUGGGCGCUCAUUCUGUUAAGUCAUUGUAGUGAAACAGUACUUUGACAUGAAGGUAAGGCCUGUCUUUAUUUUCCACCCCAAAAUGUACCAGAACAUUCAGUAAAGCAUUUGCACCGGUAGGUAAUGUGUGUGUGUGUCUUGAUAUAGUACUGAUAGUGCCUGGUAGGUGGCUGAAAUCUGGGUAUAUUUGUAUUCAGUGCAUUGACUUACAGUACAUCUAGCCAGUGUGAAAAUAUAUGGUUACAUUUUGGGAUUUGUAUUACAGCUCAGUUGAACCUCCUUUUACAUUUAACUUGACAUGAACACUAUUAUUAUUUACUGUUAUGGGGAUUAAAAUAAAAAGUUAGUGUUUCUACAACACAAGAGUAGAAUACGUUUGAGAUUGUCCAGAUAUCUGACAGUUAAAACAUCUGUGUAUUCCGUUCUAAUUUGGCUUUCCAUUUUUCUUCUUAAAAUACAGGAUUUCAUUUUCAAAUGUUUCAGGAGUCUUUUCAAUUGGAAAUGUGAUCUCUGAUCACCACGUCAAAGGAAUCUCAAAUAUGAAUCAAAGUAAAACCAAUAUGUCUUCUUACAGCUGACCAAUUGACCAGCACGUCAAAUUUCAAAUACUUGAACCCAUCAAGCUGCUAAGACAUGUUGAACCUACAGUACAAAUAAAAGCAUGCUUCCACUGGCCUUAAAAAGAACAUCUUCUAAAGCUUUUUACUGGGCACACUGUGGACCAAAGCAUUGUUCUUUCUAAACUGCCCUGUGCCCUCCAAAACAUUAACAGCUGUGCAAUACUGGUCCUUCAGUAUAUCAGCACUGUUCUUUCUAAACUGCCCUGUGCCCCCCAAAACAACGUUAACAGCUGUGCAAUACUGAGUCCUUCAGUAUAUCAGCACUGUUCUUUCUAAACUGCCCUGUGCCCUCCAAAACAUUAACAGCUGUGCAAUACUGGGUCCUUCAGUAUAUCAGCACUGUUCUUUCUAAACUGCCCUGUGCCCUCCAAAACAUUAACAGCUGUGCAAUACUGGGUCCUUCAGUAUAUCAGCACUGUUCUUUCUAAACUGCCCUGUGCCCCCCAAAACAACGUUAACAGCUGUGCAAUACUGGUCCUUCAGUAUAUCAGCACUGUUCUUUCUAAACUGCCCUGUGCCCUCCAAAACAUUAACAGCUGUGCAAUACUGGGUCCUUCAGUAUAUCAGCACUGUUCUUUCUAAACUGCCCUGUGCCCUCCAAAACAACGUUAACAGCUGUGCAAUACUGGGUCCUUCAGUAUAUCAGCACUGUUCUUUCUAAACUGCCCUGUGCCCUCCAAAACAUUAACAGCUGUGCAAUACUGGGUCCUUCAGUAUAUCAGCACUGUUCUUUCUAAACUGCCCUGUGCCCCCCAAAACAACGUUAACAGCUGUGCAAUACUGGGUCCUUCAGUAUAUCAGCACUGUUCUUUCUAAACUGCCCUGUGCCCUCCAAAACAACGUUAACAGCUGUGCAAUACUGGGUCCUUCAGUAUAUCAGCACUGUUCUUUCUAAACUGCCCUGUGCCCUCCAAAACAUUAACAGCUGUGCAAUACUGGGUCCUUCAGUAUAUCAGCACUGUUCUUUCUAAACUGCCCUGUGCCCCCCAAAACAACGUUAACAGCUGUGCAAUACUGGUCCUUCAGUAUAUCAGC